AAACCUAUAUAGGCUUCGGGGCCCGAGAUUAGUGGCCAAUUGAAGGGCUGCUCUGAACCUAGCUACGUCACUGGGAUUUUUAAAAAUGUAGAAUAGUCGUAGCUGGACGGUUAUGAUCAUCAAAGUCUGCAGUAAGUGUUGAAUUGAGACUAAACAAAUGAAUGUGUAUAUGUGUGUGUGUGACAGAGAGAAAGAGAGAAUUUUGAGAGAAAAUGUUUGAAGGGAACAGAAUGAAGAUGAAUUCGAUCAAACAUGAGCUGCGCCUAAGCGACCACUCACUGACAACCCAAACCUAUCACCGUCAUAAGAACAACAGAUGACAGUUUUUUUUUUAAAUAUUAAUAUUAAACGUUAGCCAGUCUAGCAUCACCAUAUCACGUUUAACACGCUCCAGUUCCACAAUAUGUCAGUGGAGCCAGUCAUUAUUUCAUAGCACUUAUCAACCGACCAUGCAGCCAUCUCCUUUCUCGGCUUGAACCCCUUCUCUUCCAAACCCAGCCAGCCAUUACGAAAUCACCGCCACCGCUAAUUACCGCUCUCUCAAUCACUGACCUCUCUUACUGACCCACACCUUUUCCACGCCCACCAGCACUCCGCAACCAACAAUACCACUCGGACUCUCCCACCACCACCACCACCACCACUAUCCACGCUCUCCCACCACUUUUCAACCACUAUAACUACAAUCAACAUCACUACCUCAUCGACAAUUCUAAACUGGGAUGGUUAUGAGACGGCCACACUCACUCAUACGCACAUCUAACCUACGGGACCAAACACUACACUCUGGUUUAAACAGAGAAAGAGAGAAAAUAUAAGCCAGCCAGAGAGAGAGAAAGGAAAUUUAGUGGUAGAAAAAAAACUGUAAACGAAAGAGAAAGAAAGAGAGUAACGCCGUCGAGGCCAGCCAGACAGAUGUUGAUCUUUGUCAAGAGAUUCGGACGGUGUUUCGGUUUCACCUAAGUUGGACUCAACAACAAGUGAAAAAAAGCUGCACAUCUAUAUAAAAUACAAGUUUGCACCACACAGGUAGGCAUGUGUGCAUACUGUAAUUAAUACUGAUUAAAACGCUUAAGAAAUCAGACUAUAUAUAUAUAUAUAUAUAUAUAUAUAUAUAUAUGAGUGUGUGUUUAUUUAUAGAAAUAGAGAGGGCGAACUAAUCUAAUCGGAUAUUAAGGAAAGAUUGAUACCCAAUUGUCGACACUGAAGUUUGAAAUUUAAGAAAAAGUAUUGCCAACUCUCUCGUGAUGAUGAAAAAAACAAUGACUUUUGCCAGAGAAUUUUAAACACUAAACUUUCCAUUCCACUGUGAGAAUCCUGCCAGUUGCUUGGCAUAAAUCAGCAACAUUAAGAGUAUGGCUGGCUGACUGUAUGAUGACAGGCACCACAACAUAACAUUCUCAUUUGCUUCCAACAAUCGAUCAGAAUAAUUUGAGGAAAAAAAAAGUUAUUAUUAACAGCUUAACCAAUCUAAUUGAUGAGGUAAAUGAAGGAGGAAGCAAGAAACUAAAUCAAUAAAUGUGAUUAGAAAAACAAAGAAAAAAAUAAAGAAAAUU
rnacentral:lncRNA from 1 species